rnacentral:tmRNA from 1 species
GGGGCUGACUUGGAUUUCGACAGAUUUCUUGUCGCACAGAUAGCAUGCCAAGUGCUACUUGUAAAACAGCAACAGAAAUAACUGUAAACAACACAGAUUACGCUCCAGCUUACGCUAAAGCUGCGUGAGUUAAUCUCCUUUUGGAGCUGGACUGAUUAGAAUUUCUAGCGUUUUAAUCACUCCAUAACCUUAAGCUAGACGCUUUUAAAAGGUGGUUCGCCUUUUAAACUAAGAAACAAGAACUCUUGAAACUACCUCAAGGUUUUAGAAAGUUGGACCAGAGCUAGUUUUAAGGCUAAAAAACCAACCAAUUUUCUAAGCAUUGUAGAAGUUUGUGUUUAGGGCAAGAUUUUUGGACUGGGGUUCGAUUCCCCACAGCUCCACCA